GUCCCUGUCCUGUGCAGUCCGCUCUGCGAGCUCCUGAGUAGGACAGACUUGCACAGAUAAGGGCAAGAGACCUCAGACCAUGAGUCCCGGUGGGAAUGUGAUGCAAAGCAGGCUUGGAGCGGCAAAGAAAAACAAACAAAAGGAAGGUUUCAGAGCACAGGAGUGUGAUUGCCAGAAGUGGAUGGGCUGGCACAGUGAGGGGAGAGGGGCUCCCUCACUUCACUGCUGUCCUGCGCCCCAGCCUUUUCCUGCCCCCCACCCCUGAUCCCCAUUCUUCAUGUCUGUUUAUUAUCAGAUAUCUCCCAUCCUCCUGACAUUCUCACCGUGCCCAGAUGACCCAAAAACCAGUUCCGCUUAGGGGCCUGAGGGAAGCAUCUGAGGCGGGCGCAUUUCUCAUAGAAGGAGUAAGCCCAGGCCAGAAUUCUCGCCACCAGCCAGGAAGCCCCGAAGAGCAGCAGAAGAUGCCAUGAGGAGGCCAGCACUUGGCCCAGGCCCAGCCAGGGCAGGUUCCAUGACUGCAUCCUGCGGGUAGAUGAACACAGAAACUGAUACUGCUGCUAGAGUCAAGACCAGAAGAAAUCAGAGACCUCCUCAGGACAUUGUGACUACUUGGAAGGACCUGAAUUUCACAGUCAGGAAGAAGCAUGCUCUGAAAAAACAUCUGUCUGAAGCCCUACCCAGGCUUUUGGGGCCGUAUAGACUUUGGUCUUGCCUACUCCAUAAGCACAGGUGCCAGUUUCUAAAAUUAACUUGUUAAGCUACAAAUAAGCAGGGAUUACACCUAUAAUCAGGCCAUUUGGGAAGUUGGUGCAAGAGGACUAUGAACCAAGGCCAACCUAGGCUACAUAUGAUAAGAAAAAUGCAUGACAUAUAGCAUAAUUUGAUCUUCAGAUAAAUAUACAUAGACCCGGAUAUAAUGGUCAUAAUGCUCAGUCAUCACUGUUAUCUUGGCUGUAUCUGGAAUCACCAUGGAAGCAGACUUCUGGCAGUGCCCAUAAGAGUCAUUCUGAAAGGCUGAACCAAGAGCAAAGACCCACCCUGAAUGUGGACAACUUCAUCACCAGGACUGUCUCUCCUGGCUAAAUAAAAACAAGGAAAUGAGCUGAGUACCACACAGAAUCUCUUGCUUCCUGACCUAUGAUAUCAUGUGACCAGCCACUGCAUGCUCUUGCCACCAUGACUUCCCAUCAUGAUGGACUGGACCCUUCACCUGUGAGCUACAGGAAUCUCUUCCUUCCUUAACUUACUUUUCCAGGUAUUUAAUCAGUGAGAAGAGAAAAGUAACUAACACAGGAAAUUUGUAUGAGGAAUGAGGUCAUUGGUCUGAUAACCUGACCUUGUUAGGAGGAAUUUGGGGCUUAUUUGCUGAAGGAACAUUGGAAGAGUUUGAAAUUCUGUGUUAUAAAAUCCCUAGAUUACUUAUAAGCAGAACUAAAUGGGAUAUUCUGAUUGUGAUAGCUAACAUUAUAAGCUUAAAUUGCUUGAGAGAUCUAUAAAACAAAAGCACCUCUAACCUGGAAGCUCCACUUGCCUUCCUGGAAUGCUGGAGGCUGUUGUUCAUAUAAGAUAACAAACCAUGUAUUUUUGCUUCUGUGAAUGAGUUUGGUUGUUCCAGUUGUGCAGGAUGUGUGUGUGAUCACAUGUAGACUGGAAAUACAUCAGGAUGUGUGCUUGCCUCUGAUUGCUCAGAGAUAGGAAGUGCUCAGCCUUGUGAGUUUUGCCUUUUUAAGUCCCAGAUUUAAUGAAAUGUAAGUUAAUGUAAUGAUUAAUGUAAUUCAGCACAAUACUCUGAGCAUGAGUCUCAGGUAUGGACCUGGCCAAUGUUUAAUAAAGUCUCUUAUUUGUUAAAAUUA